AGGAAAAGAUGAUAGCUAUUGAACUUUAUACUGUAUGUUCUUGUUUUUGAGUUCCCUGUGGAAACUUACUUUUGGCAUCAAUCAAAUGUAUGUUCUUUUCAAGGAACCUGGAGUUGAGAUAAAGCAGGAAAAAGCUAAUGAAUUCCUGUUCUCGUGUCAGGUUCUAUGGAGGAUAUUACAUAUUAGUUGGGUCAUUCCAUGGUUAGAGGUAGCUCUUCUGCAAACAGAUGGAAGGUUCGUUAUUGCACAAUAACUUUCUCUACCCUUUUGUUGCUAUUUUAACCAUUUUUAUUAGGAAUUGUUUUGGGCUUGGGAGCAAUCUUAACACAAUGUAUGUUGGUUCUCUUUUAUGGUUUAGAAAUGGAUAUAUUGUCUCUGUCAUGUGCUUCAAAAUGUAACUUCAAAUACUGGAUAUUCUGCAUUUCAGAUGUAAAGAGUUUGAAAUAUUAAAAUGCCCCUCCUGAAUGACUUAGGGUUGGAGAUACACUGAUCUAUACAUCAUCUUUCCUACAUGGUUGACAAACUGGAAUGGAAUUGCAUUUAUUAUUCAAUUUUCAUCUUUAUUUAUUGAUAACAUGCUUUUCCCCUCUUUCCCCAUUAUUUUGAAGUAAUCUGCCUGCUAUUUUCAUGAUCAAAGUUGUCAGUCAGAUGCAUUUUGUUUGAUGAUCUUCUUUACUCAUCUUGCUUGCGUUGCAUGUAAUGGAUCCUUUUCCAAGUGUUCAAUGCACAAGAAUGGCGUCAUAAGAGACAAUCAUGGUUAUAUACAUAGGAAGCGUUACUGGCAUAGCUUCUUUGUCAUGUGAAACUCUCCUUGCCGCCAAGCUCAUGUAUCUAUUAUAACUGUUAUUAAAUUAGUAGAACCUUGUGUCAAUUGGUGCAUCGGCUUUAUUAGUGGUCAUUACUUGUGGUUGAUAUUCUAAAACCUUAUAUUGUCUUGUAUUACUUCUUGCCAACAUCUAUUAACCUCAUUCACGCCCAUCUGUUUGGUGGUGCAUUUUUUCUA